UGUGGAAACAAAGUUGUUCGGCUACAACGUUUAUUUUAAAAAAUAACUGGCCUUUUUUUGGCCAAACCUAAAACCACAAAGUGAUUUUGUAGUUUUCGUUUUCUUAUAUGCGACUUGUAUUCAUCCCCUCUCUGUAGAUCUCUCCACCUCUGAUUCGCUCACUGUCGUCUUAAUUCAAGGAGUAAACUGUACAGGUAAGCCUUCUGAAUCAAGAAGUUAUAAUUGAGAGAUACAGUCAGAAGUGGAAUAUCAGUUAACAAACUCCAAAGAGACAAGAAUAUUUGAAGAACAGGUGUGUUACACUGGUGUGCCUGCUUCUGGUUUAGUUGAUACUUCUGUUGCACUAUUGUUUCUGCUGCAUUGAUUUUCUAUGCUCUGCUGCUGCUGGGGUUUUGCAGCUGCUUCGUAUAGUGUUGACGCAUUCUGUUGCCCUGCUGGUGCUGCUUGUAUUCUAGCCAUAGAUAAAAAAUGCGGUACCGGUCACGGUCGCGGGAUCGAUCGCGGAGUCUCGGUAACGGAAAUAAUGCGUUAGUCGCGGACCAUGUCGCGGUUGUCGCGUAGUAAUUUGAAAUUUAAAAAGAAACCCCAUGUCAGCCCCAUUUACUACCUACCCUAGUCCCCCUCCCCUAAACCGUACACGUGACAUAAUUAAAAUGAAUUCCUUUGUCUACCUUCUCUCUCCUCUCUUGUUUUAGAUUUGAAAAUGGAGUUCUCUACUCUAUUUCAAUAGAGUUUCUCCAUUUCUUUCUUCUUCCCCUUUCUUUUUGUCGAAAACAUGGGGAAUUCGGCUGAAAACCGAGUAGAUGUGAGGUUUACAACGUUUAAUGCGGACAAAAUUCGUUCGGAUCGGUUGAACCGGCCGAGAUCUCGCCGUUUUUAAAAACACCUUUACAACUCGGGAUAUCUCGUAUCGCCAGCCUCCAAAACCUUGUUAACUCGGGCGAUGGGAGUUAACUCGGGCUAGUUUUUACACCAUGAUUCUAGCUUCUUUGUUUUGUUUUUUUUUUUUUUGCUCCUGGUGCUGUAGCUUCUUUGUUUUGUUUUUUUGCUGGUUGUGUUAGUCGGUUUGGGAUGCAGGUUGUGCUCCCUUAACUGAGGUGUUUGUUUCUUUUCUUUUUUUUUGGAUAUUAGGUGUAUUACUUCAUUUUGUAAUAUAUUUUUUCUAUGUUACAAAAAUAAAUAAAUAUAUAACACACUUUAGGUGUCGCCUUCUAUAAUUACAUGCAGUAAUGGCUAAUUAAUUAUUUUUUUAAAAAAAUAAAAGAAUACUUUCCGCGUCGCCCUUUGGUAUAAUAGCCGACUCAAAAUGGGUAAAAAGAUUUUAAAAAAUAAUUCGGAAAAUAUUUUCCGUGUCGACUAAAAACAUAAGAGGCGACUCUAAAGGUAAUUAGUUUUAAAAAUUAAUUUUACAAAAUAUUUUUCGUGUCGCCUCUUAGUAUGUUAGGCGACUCGAUUAUUAAUAAAAAUGUCCAAAAAAUAUUUUUUCGUGUCGCCUAUAAACUAUAGAGGUGACUGUAUAAUUAAAAAAAAUAUAUAAAAACAAUUCCGGAAAAUAUUUUUCGUGUCGCCUGUAGAGAUUAGAGGCGACUUUAAAGGUUAAUUAAUUCUUUUAAAAUAAUUAAAAAGUAACUUUUGUGCCGCCUCUUUGCAUAAUAGGCGACUUGGAAUGAUUAAUUAAUUUUUUAUUUUUUUGAAAAAUAUAUCUGUAGUGUCGCCUCUUCCUUAAGAGGCGACUUGUAUAGUAGUGUUCGUGUCGCCUCAAAGGGGCGACUCUAAAACGCCAAAUACUUUUAGAGUCCCUAGCUUCAGAGUCGCCCCAUAGGCGACACUAAAAGCAAUUUAGUGGCGACUCGCAAAGGUGUUUUUGUAGUAGUGAAAGGAUUUGCUUACCUAAAAUAUUUUAGAAUUGAGUCAAAAUACAUAAUGUGCUUAAUUCUUCAACGAUUUAAGGAUCUUGGAAUCAUUUUAUUCACACCUGACGGAACACAAAAACUCGAAUAAAAUGCUUAAUAAAUAUUGAAUUAUGCAUGUAUGCUAGAAUUUAAGUUUAAUAAGAGAAAAUAUAAAUGGUUAUUUAUUUGUUUAUUCUUUUCAAUUGUAGUUUUAAUUAUGGCAAACAACAAUUCAUUCAACAUCCGAUUAAUUUUCGAAAAGGAGAAGUUGAGCAGGAAAAACUUCCUUGACUGGCAAAGGAACUUGCAAAUAGUUCUAUUGCAGGAAGAAAAGGAGUAUGUCCUGGAAGAGGCGAUGCCCGAAGCCGCGGGCGACGUGGUCACUCAGGCAGCCCUCAAUCGUUGGAUUGAUGCCAACAAGGAUGUAAAAUGUCUAAUGCUUGCAACCAUGAGUUCAGAUCUACAGAAAACGUUCAUCAACUAAGAUUCUUUCACGAUCAUCAGUGAGUUGAAGAACAUAUUCCAAGAUCUGGCUCGAGUUGAAAGAUUCGAGACUCAUAGCCAAAUUCUUGACACCAAGCUUAAGAAGGGCGAGCCCGUAAGUCCACAUGUUCUCAAGAUGAUUGGAUUAAUUGAGAAUAUGAGUCGGCUGGAUCAGCAGUUCUCUCAAGAAAUGGUUGUAGACACCAUCCUCCACUCUCUUAAUAGCGGGUACGAUCAGUUCAAACUGAACUACAACAUGAAUAGUCUGGACAAAACGCUCACUGAGUUUCACGGUAUGUUGAAGAUCGCUGAAAAAAAUGGUCAAAAGUUAUAAGCAAGAUGUUCUUAUGGUGCGUGGGGGCAAGUUCAAGAAAUCUGGCAAGAAGAGGAAUGCUAAGAAAGGUGGCAAGAAAGCCAGCCCAACUAAGCAAGCUGGCGGCGCCAAGUCUGAAAAGAAGAAGGUGAGCCAACCCACUUCCGAGUCUGAAUGUUAAUUCUACUGUAAAAAGAAGGGGCAUUGAAAGAGAGAUUUGUUGAAGCUAAAGGAAGAUCAUAAGAACGGAACUAGCGUUCCAUCUUAAGGGACUAAGAUGAAGUAGAAGGUUAAGCAAGGGUGAAGUCGACCUACGAGUAGGAAAUGGAGCAAGGAUUGCUGCAUUAGCUGUAGGAACUUAUUAUUUGUCGUUCCCCUCUGGGCUAGUUUUGGAACUGGAAGAGUGUUUCCAUGUUCCAAGUCUUACAAAAAUCAUCAUUUCUGUUUCUUGC